rnacentral:rRNA from 1 species
UACGGGGGGGGCAAGCGUUGUUCGGAAUUACUGGGCGUAAAGGGCGCGUAGGCGGUGCGGUAAGUCACCUGUGAAAUCUCCUGGCUCAACUGGGAGCUUGCAGGCGAAACUGCCGUGCUGGAGUGUGGGAGAGGUGCGUGGAAUUCCUGGUGUAGCGGUGAAAUGCGUAGAUAUCAGGAGGAACACCUGUGGCGAAAGCGGCGCACUGGACCACAACUGACGCUGAGGCGCGAAAGCUAGGGGAGCAAACAGG